rnacentral:rRNA from 1 species
GCGGUGGAGCAUGUGGUUUAAUUCGAUGCAACGCGAAGAACCUUACCUACUCUUGACAUCCUCAGAAGAGACUGGAGACAGUCUUGUGCCUUCGGGAACUGAGAGACAGGUGCUGCAUGGCUGUCGUCAGCUCGUGUUGUGAAAUGUUGGGUUAAGUCCCGCAACGAGCGCAACCCUUAUCCUUGUUUGCCAGCGAGUAAAGUCGGGAACUCCAGGGAGACUGCCGGUGAUAAACCGGAGGAAGGUGGGGACGACGUCAAGUCAUCAUGGCCCUUACGAGUAGGGCUACACACGUGCUACAAUGGCGCAUACAGAGGGCGGCCAACUUGCGAAAGUGAGCGAAUCCCAAAAAGUGCGUCGUAGUCCGGAUUGGAGUCUGCAACUCGACUCCAUGAAGUCGGAAUCGCUAGUAAUCGUGGAUCAGAAUGCCACGGUGAAUACGUUCCCGGGCCUUGUACACACCGCCCGUCACACCAUGGGAGUGGGCUGCAAAAGAAGCAGGUAGUUUAACCUUCGGGAGGACGCUUGCCACUUUGUGGUUCAUGAC